UACGGAAGGCAGCAGUGGGGAAUAUUGCACAAUGGGCGAAAGCCUGAUGCAGCUAUGCCGCGUGUAUGAAGAAGGCCUUAGGGUUGUAAAGUACUUUCAUCGGGGAGGAAAAAACAAAACUAAUAAUUUUAUUUCUUGACGUUACCCGAAAAAGAAGCACCGGCUAACUCCGUGCCAGCAGCCGCGGUAAUACGGAGGGUGCUAGCGUUAAUCAGAAUUACUGGGCGUAAAGAGCACGUAGGUGGUUUUUUUAAAGUCAGAUGUGAAAUCCCUGGGCUUUAACCUAGGAACUGCAUUUUGAAACUGAAAUACUAGAGUAUCGUAGAGGGAGGUAGAAUUCUAGGUGUAGCGGUGAAAUGCGUAGAUAUCUGGAGGAAUACCUGUGGCGAAAGCGGCCUCCUAAACGAAUACUGACACUGAGGGUGCGAAAAGCGUGGGGAGCAAAACAGGGAUUAGAUACC
rnacentral:rRNA from 1 species